AUUGAACGCUGGCGGCAGGCCUAACACAUGCAAGUCGAACGAGUGGCGGACGGGUGAGUAAUGUCUGGGAAACUGCCUGAUGGAGGGGGAUAACUAUUGGAAACGGUAGCUAAAACGGAAAACCAUCAGGUGUGGCCAGAUGGGAUUAGCUAGUUGGUGGGGUAACGGCUCACCAAGGCGACGAUCCCUAGCAGGUCUGAGAGGAUGACCGGCCACACUGGAACUUAGACACGGUCCAGACGCCUACGGGAGGCAGCAGUGGGGAAUAUUGCACAAUGGGCGCAAGCCUGAUGCCGCCAUGCCGCGUGUAUGAAGAAGGCCUUCGGGUUGUAAAGUACUUUCAGCGGGGAGGCGUUACCCGCAGAAGAAGCACCGGCUAACUCCGUGCCAGCAGCCGCGGUAAUUC
rnacentral:rRNA from 1 species